UUCGCCGAGCAACCUGUGAAGUACGCCGCUGCCGGGCAGAGGGGAAAAGAAAGAUCUCCAUCGCCUGAUCAGAGGGACAGAAGGACAAUAUUCUCUUUGACUCGUGGGGGAAAAAACACGCCUCAACGUUUAAGGAAAUGGGGAGCUGGCCGUCGCCGUGUUUGUACAGUAUCCCAGAAUUGAGAAACCAAACACUGCCACAAGAGAGCGUCUUCCACGUUACCCAACGGACACCAUAGCUUCUCCUACAUGCUUGUAAACGGAAGGUCACAAAUCCACCACCUCACCGCUAGAUGUCACUUGAUCCUACACGCUGGUUCCUUCACGUAGUCGUGGACCACAUCGACCUCCUAUCUGCACGCAGCAGUGUGGAUCCCCUUGACCGCCCGUCUCUCAUCACUCUGUCGUCUGAAGUCCUGCAAGUUGAGAGAGUGGUUCAGAUGACUCCUCUCAGUCCGGGACUCCUCUGUCGUCCCUCCUCUUCUUCGGUCUCUGCCUCUGCUGCUGAAUCAGGAAACGAUUACAUCCUCGCUGUCCCUUCCCUUUAAUCACUUCCACGUCCCAUUCUUUAGAGAAUGUAUUUGACACUAGCUUGACAUUGUCCCUCCCUAAACUUAAAAC